UGUGAUUUUUCCCCCUAUAAGAGAAUUGAGAGGGGGCCCGCGACCACAUUGUCAUCUCGAUCCGCGAUCCGUCAGCACUGUACAGCAUGUUUCCGUUCCCGAUUGUGUUGUUGUGUUUUGGCGCGGUGGCGCUCGCCGCCGAAAGAUCGCCGGAGGCGCAUGGACGUCAAGUUGUGUUGACUCAGCUCAUCCUGCCGAACGGACAGUACCCGGGCCCGGCCAAAGUCAUCGAAGCAGCCGCCCCUCUGCCUGCAAGACAAGUCUCGUACACCAUCCCCCAGCUUAAACCUAACUACGUUGACGGGUUCCAAUACUACCCGGUUUUCCCGGGUCAGGCACCUGUGCCUUAUGGUGCAAGUCCCUUCGUCUACUACCAGCCUGGCGCUCCCUAUCCGGCCUACGUUCGAGACGAACAGGGAAGUGGAGGAGGUGGAUGGAGUAACUUCUUCAGUAAUUGGCAAAAUUAUAUCCCCAGCAGCAUAUAUCCCCAAGGUGGCCAAAGUAGCCAAAGCGAAGAACAACAAAGUGAGGAAAAUGAAGGGGAGGAAAACAAGCAGAAGCCCCAGAAAGUGCAACAGCAAAUCCAGCAACAGCAGCUCCAGCAACAACAAUUCCAGCAACAACAAGAGCAACUCCAACAGCAACAGAUCCAACAAGUUCAGCAGCAGAUCAAGCUUCAACAAGAACAGCUCCAACAGCAGCAGCCUUCCCAGGUGUUCUACAACCAGCAACCGGCGCCUGAGAGCGUAGGCAACCAGAAGGACGGAGCUCCUGCCGGAUUGCAGAACCCGGCAGCGACCGCCCAGUUCCCCCAGUUCCUGUACGGCGCUCAGCCCCAGUUUUUCGGGCCGUACCCGUCGCAGAACCGCGUGAGCCAGGACCCUGACAAACUGACCGCGGCCUCUCACGGCGCUGUCUCCAACUACUUGUUCCUUAAAAACCAGCAACAACCCGCAUUCCAGCACACGCAACAGCGGUACGAGAGUCCGGCGGCAGAGCCCGCGCCACUGGCGGCCGGCGGUCGCGGGCGGCCCGCAGCCGCGGCGGCGGCCCCGGGGAAGCGACUCGAGCUGGAGAGAUAUUCGGCCGACGCCAAGAACCAAAGAUCUCCUCUUUACGCCCAGCACGUCUCUGCGUUGCAGGUUUCCGCCGACCCCGCCUCUAUCCAAGGUCCCUCCAACGUCUAAAAAUCCACAAUCGUUAUUAAAUCAAUUUCUCCCGAAACAUCUCAAACCCCCAAAGUCAAAAGCUGAGAUACGAGACCUAUGAUAUGAUAUCGGAUCGCGAAUUUUAAUAUUGUGAGGUCAUCUGAUCGCUCAAGCGUCACCUGAAGCUCUGGCCGCCGCGGGGCAAGGAGGCAUGGCAGGCGCUGGCCCCACCGGGCAGGCCAUCGUAGGGGACAGGGGGCUCGCCCUCUCGGCGCCCAAAAGCACGGCCAUCGCCGGUCACCCCGACAUCGAGGUCGUCAUCACCGGGGACAAGAAACCCGGCUCCAAACCCAAGAAGCCCGUCGCCAAAUACUCGAAGAGCAAAGGCUACCACAUCGACUACUCGUCUUGAGAUCUCCAUUCCACCACCGACUAAAUUUCACAAACGGGGAGAAGGACCUUUGGAUUAUAUCCGUUCCCUUCCCGCACUGUUUUACCAUGACUGUUCCUUACCGUGAUCUAAUUGACGAACUAUCCUCGACAGAAUAUUGGCAUAAGUUCUGCCGCGUUAAGGAAAAACGCCCUGAGAACCGUCAGGCGUUGCCAAACUUCCAUUUUAAAAAACAGGAAUUUCCUGGUAAAGUCGUGAAUAUUUUUCUUCCAAUUUUUCAUAUAAUAAUGUUUGCAAUUUCACCUGAAGCUCCUGAAAUUCUUGAGGAAAAAUAUUCAUAACCUUCCUCAAAAAUAAACAUUUUGUCGAAGGAAAUUUGGCAAUUCUCGAAUGUUCAUACGGCGUUCUUCCUUAGCACGGCAGCGUUGGUCAUUAUUACGCGAAGAAUUAUAGUAAUUUUUAUACUAAGGCGAAGUUUGUAAAAUAAUGUAUGUCCUAAUUGAGUUAAUAGCUAUCACGUGAGAGUUUCGCCACUUCUCGUUAAAACUUUGAAGAUGACUCAAAAUUUAAUUUUCUGGCGUAAAAUUUACCAACAUUUUCCCUGUCAUUCAUAAUUCGUUUAGGGAUAAUUUCCUGCCUAUUCCGAAUAAUUUAAGCCAGCCAGCUUUAACGUUUGCUGAUCCUAAAGUGUAUGUGCCAUUUUAUUUUUUAUGCUAAGUAGGGUUGGAGCAUUAAAAUGCUCGGAGAUUUCUUUGGUAUCCAAAUACGACGUUGAAUGCAUCGUAUGAUCAUCACAAACAUUUGCUUGAUCUCGUUCUAUUUUGUGUUAUGUUCGAGUCACAUUCCUCAAUUCUUUAUUGUAUCUACACGGAUUUUGAUUGAAACACAUUUUGAAAAUAAUUUAAAAAUUAUGAGUUUGGCUGUUAUAUAAUGAGUCUCAGUUUGAAGCAUUAAUUUUCAAUUUGAAAAUGAAAAUUUAAAGUCGAGUCUUUGAUGUUGGGUUCAUCAUGGAUCCUAGCUCUAUUUAAAAUCAGUGGGUCGCCACUUUCCGUCCAUACAUUGUAUUGGUUCAAAAUGGGUUUUUCAAAUUCAAGUCAAUUUUUAUUUAAUUUAGAGGGGCUGUUCAAAAAAUCUGAAUAAGUUCAUAAUUCGUGCCACUAUUGUGUAGUAACAAGGACGGCUCAGUGUGAAUCUUGUAUUGUGUACUUGGGACUGUAAGAUAGGUUUCUUAUAUUUUUUUUGUUUCGUUUUGCUACGUUUAUGGUCCAUUUCUCUUGACUAGACUUCGAUUCGAUAUUGGUAAACUUUCCUUGCAGUGCUUAAGUUUUAAAUCUUAGUAACAGAUUGAAUUGAAAGUAAUGUGGAUGAAUAAACGUUUAGGAAAAAUCAAUACGCAAAAAUUGCAAAA